AGUCGAACGCGAAAGGGUCCUUCGGGAUCUGAGUAGAGUGGCGUCCGGGUGAGUAACGCGUAGAUCAUCUACCUUCGGGUGGGGAAUAACUCAGGGAAACUUGAGCUAAUACCGCAUAACAUCGAAAGAUCAAAGCAGGGGAUCGCAAGACCUUGCGCCUGAAGAGGAGUCUGCGUCUGAUUAGCUAGUUGGUAAGGUAAUGGCUUACCAAGGCUUCGAUCAGUAGCUGGUCUGAGAGGACGGCCAGCCACAUUGGCACUGAAACACGGGCCAAACUCCUACGGGAGGCAGCAGUGGGGAAUUUUGGGCAAUGGGCGAAAGCCUGACCAGCAAUGCCGCGUGAACGAUGAAGUCCUUCGGGAUGUAAAGUUCGGAAGUAAGGAACGAAAAGCUUUGGGAUAACACCCUUAAGUGCUGACGGUACCUUAUCUAAGCCCCGGCUAACUACGUGCCAGCAGCCGCGGUAAUACGUAGGGGGCAAGCGUUGUUCGGAAUUACUGGGCGUAAAGCGCGCGUAGGCGGUUUGAAAAGUCAGAUGUGAAAGCCCCGGGCUCAACUUGGGAACUGCAUUUGAUACUGUCAGACUAGAGUACAGAAGAGGUGACUGGAAUUCCCAGUGUAGCGGUGAAAUGCGUAGAUAUUGGGAGGAACACCAGAUGCGAAGGCGGGUCACUGGGCUGAUACUGACGCUGAAGUGCGAAAGCCAGGGGAGCGAACGGGAUUAGAUACCCCGGUAGUCCUGGCCCUAAACGAUGGAUACUUGGUGUAUGGGGGGUUUUAAGUCCCCGUGUGCCGGAGCUAACGCGUUAAGUAUCCCGCCUGGGGAGUACGGUC
rnacentral:rRNA from 1 species